GGCCAAGCAAGGAAACAAAGAGAAAAAGAGAAGAACAAACCCUAGGAAAGAAAAAUUCAAGAGAAAUUGUUGGAUUUCAAGGAAUCAAGCAAGUAAAGGUAAGAUUUUUUAAUUUUAGCUUGUGAUCUACCUUUCCCAUGCAUUCUUUUUCAUUUUCCAUGGCUGAAAUUGAAGUUUUCAAGAAAGAACCUUUGCUGGCCAAACCUAGAGAGAUAAGUUUUUGUGAUGAAUUUUUCUAGAUUUCAUAAUAUCCUAGUGUUUUUAGUCAUUUUGUGAUGUUUGGAAAGAAAAACAAGCAAGAAAAUCACAUGUUCUUCAAUAACCCUCAUUUGGCCGAAUUUUCUAUAGGGCAUGUUGAUGAAGGAUUUGGUUGUAAAUCAUGUUAUUUAGCUAGGAAUUGAUGAAUUAUAAUGUUGGAUAUCGAACCAGUUAUUGAAAAAUAUAGUUCCUUUAGAAAAUGGCUUGAUGGAAACUGAGAAAAUUAUAGUAAAUGGACUUGGAUUUGAUUCCUAAUGAUAUAUAUAUGGAUUUAUGAGAUUGUGUAAACAUUGAUUAGUAUGUUAGUUCAGAAUCGGAAUGGAUUUCGAAAAAUGGUGAAGUUAGCCAAAAAUCAAGUUCAUUGUAAUACUUUGGUGUAUUAGAUUAUUGGAAAUAUAAUGAAUAUAUUUGGAGUUGAAUCGGAUGUUUUGGUUAAAUCAAUGGUGUAUAGUUCGAAUUAGGUCUAAUACAAAUUCAUUCCGAUCACAAUUGAACCUACGUAGAACACCAUCUUUAAGUGAUUAUUCGGACAAUUCUCAUUCAAUGUCAUGCAUUCAUAUAGAGCCUGAAAUAGUUUUAUAACAGUUUGGCACAAAUAUAUUGAAUUACGUGUCGUGUAUUUUGUAUAGGUGGUGAGCCCUCUGAUAAGGGUAAAGAUAUUGUGCCCGAGGACCAAGAAUAGGAGUACUCCAAACUCCUGCAAUUGUGAGUAAUUAGAUGUUCAUCUUAAUUGUCACGACUCGAAACUACCCAUCGGGCCCGUGACAACCUCCGCGAGGCCUCGACAGACAUUUUCACCCCGAAUGCCGAUCGAAACCUCGCAAGGCUCUCGUAUCAACUUUCACACUUCUCGGUGAGAAAUAGUUAUUAAAUCUCGCAUUUCAAAAAAAAUCAUAAGUCAUUUUCAAAUAAGGAUAAUAAAAUAUUAUUUUUUGGCUCAUAGGGGCAUUUUCGUAAUUUUUAGUCAAAAAUCUCAAAACUUGCUACAAAUGUAGUAAGUGAGCAGAAAAUAUAUAUUUAAUUAUUUAAAAAC
rnacentral:lncRNA from 1 species